rnacentral:rRNA from 1 species
ACGCACGCUGGCGGCGUGCUUCACCCCUGCAAGUCGCACGGAAAGGCCCUGCUUUUGUGGGGUGCUCGAGUGGCGAACGGGUGAGUAACACGUGAGUAACCUGCCCUUGACUUUGGGAUAACUUCAGGAAACUGGGGCUAAUACCGGAUAGGAGCUCCUGCUGCAUGGUGGGGGUUGGAAAGUUUCGGCGGUUGGGGAUGGACUCGCGGCUUAUCAGCUUGUUGGUGGGGUAGUGGCUUACCAAGGCUUUGACGGGUAGCCGGCCUGAGAGGGUGACCGGCCACAUUGGGACUGAGAUACGGCCCAGACUCCUACGGGAGGCAGCAGUGGGGAAUAUUGCACAGUGGGCGGAAGCCUGAUGCAGCAACGCCGCGUGCGGGAUGACGGCCUUCGGGUUGUAAACCGCUUUCGCCUGUGACGAAGCGUGAGUGACGGUAAUGGGUAAAGAAGCACCGGCUAACUACGUG